rnacentral:misc_RNA from 1 species
AACGCACAUUGCGCCCCUUGGUAUUCCAUGGGGCAUGCCUGUUCGAGCGUCAUCUAAACCCUCAAGCCCCAUGGCUUGGUGUUGGGUGUCUGUCCCUGCUCCCCGCGCGGACUCGCCCCAAAUGCAUUGGCAGCGGCCUCCAUGCUUCUCGCGCAGCACAUUGCGCAGCGGAGCACGGCUAGGUGCGCUUCCAGCAAGCAACACCCCAAGGUUGACCUCGGAUCAGGUAGGGAUACCCGCUGAACUUAA